AAAAAACAAAAUAAAACCAAAAAAAAACUGAACAAGCACUAUUUCUGAAUAUUGCUCUGCAGAUAACUUGAAGCAUUUCUGGUUUAGCAUGGCACUCAGGACUGGAGAGAGCCCCUCUCUUGCUUCUUUGUCCUUUGGGUCAUCAAAUCUAUCUACCUAAUUCCUUGAAGAACGUCUUGCAAGCAAUUCAGACAAACAUAGUUCUACUCAAAACAUCUGUGUGAAAGGAGCUAAGGAUCCCUUUUCCAGGUGGCAGAGGUAUCACUUUGGACUUAGAAGUUUCAGCAAAAUGUCUCAAAGCAUCCCUCCAGGUGUGGUACUUCUUCCUCCUGACAACAGAGGACUUGGUGUGGAAUUCUCUGAGAUGUCUCCUUGCCUUCACUCUGCACUAGGGGCCACAGACAAGAGCUUUGCCCAGGAAAUGAAAAUAAAAGCCAUAUCCUAUGAGGGUUGGACACUGGGAGUCUAAGGAUUCCUUUUAUGUUGAAAACCAAUAAACUCUCUACUCUCAAUAAGGACCA
rnacentral:lncRNA from 1 species